CUUGGUGCUUGUUGGAGUGCUGGGUGCACAGAGCUGAGCUGCCUCCUUAAUGAAGACAGGGCAUACAAGGUCCAUCUCUCUGAGAUUCCUCCCACUGAUGCUUGAGCGCUUCCACCAGUGCACCAGCAUCUUUGAAGAUGCCUAUUAUCAAAAGCUGUGCUGCCACAGGCUGCACCACUUCCUGGGCACCCUGGCACAGAGUACCGUUCCAAGAGAAGAGGCCUGUGCAAAGCAGAGAUAUAUCUAUUUGCAAGCUGAGUUUCUGUGUGGAGGAAGAAUGCUGACUGGAGAACUGUGAACAGCCAAGGCAGCUGCUUUUCAAAGGAAAGAGUUGCCUGUUGCUCCUUGCCAUUUGCCAGUAGUAGGGAAAACCACAUUAUUUCAUUGUCCUGUGAUGCAGCUCAGGAAAACUGCCAAAGGGUAGAAGCAGUGUUUGCUUCGGGAGUCCAGUCUUUCUUCAUUGAGUAAAUACUGCUGGAGUGAUGGGAAGAGGAGCCAGAUGGAAGUGGCAGUGUUUGCUGCUUCAUGCCUGCAACACUUGGCCUGGGCUUUUGCUGUCCAGAACUUUGAGAAGUGUCCAAGAAGGUGUACAAGAAAACCUGGUCCUUCUUUUGUCACUGGGCUGAUGGCUUUCUUACAAUGUGACUGAGCUGCCUCUUUGUUCUGUCUGAUGAGGUGCCUGUGGUGAGAAUCAUGUCUAUUUAUGACCGAAAGGGGAAGCAGAGAGGGAGAAGCCAAAUGCCCAUUUUUCUUCUGCCCCAGGCAGGAACAACCCAUACAAAACCAAUUGUACUCUUAGCUUGUUUGAGUCUGGACUUUUACAGAGAGAGGAGAUCCCUAGUUUUAGUUCUUGGGGGUAUUCAAAUGGCUCUGGCCUCCUCAUUUGCUUUGCACAAGUGAAGCGGGGCAGCCUAG